GAGUCUGGAUUCUUUUCCGUCCCGUCCGUGCAGACAAAGGCCUGUUUGAACCUUCAACGUGCGUGGGUCAAAUGAUUGUUUAGGAAGUCUGUAUGAUGACGAAAAAACUGCAGGUGACUAGAAGCUGCCGAUGAGCUGCCAGUCCGGAUGGCAGCUAUCAACACAGCAAGGGCCUGCAGGCGCAUCAGCUCUCCUCCCGUUCCUCUACUGCCAUUGGAGACAGGAUGCUUUGUAAAAGAUUGUUUCUUUUCUUCAGUGGGAGCUCAUGAAGGUGGCA
rnacentral:lncRNA from 1 species